AUGCCUCCAAAGCGGGUCGGCUCACUGGCGACCCGGCAGGACGUCACGCCUUGCGGGCAGGACUCCAACGCCCUGUGGCUGGAAGAGACAGCCAGUGACCCCAUCCAGGAUGAGCAGACCUCGGCGAGGGCUGCCCAUAACCGUGUUAUCAGGAACGGUGUCGCAGGCACCAAGGAUGCGAGAAAACAGCAGGAGUCUGGGGAGGCCCUCCCUCCCCACAGAGAGAAUGGCAUCUCACUGCAAAACAGAUUAUUCUUCCUCAAGGCGUGCCAUUGUUUUUUUUUUUUUCUCAUUUGUCUUUUUUUUUUUUUUAGCAGUUUCGGGUUCACAACAAACUUAACAAGAAGGGACAGAGACUUCCGUGUACCUCCUACCCGCCCCCAGGAGGUACAGCUCCCCACUGUCGACGUCCCACCAGAGCGCCCCUGGCUACUGAUGAACCUAGAGGGCACGCCGUCAUCACCCAGAGUCCACAGCUUAAACCAGGGCUCACCUCGGUCUUGUAUCUUCCAUGAGUUCGGACAGAUGUUUAAUGUAUCCACCACUGCAGCAUCACGGAGAGGAUUUCCUGCCCUGAAAAGCCCUCCAUGCUCUCUCUACUCACCCCUCUCCACACUCCCACCCCUGGCAGCCAGUGAUGUCUUCACUGUCUCCACAGUUCUGCUUUUUCCAGAAUUUUAUGUAGUUGGAGCUGUACACUGCGGGCUUCCUGGUGGCACAGCGGUAAAGAAUCAGCCCGGCCAUGCAGGAGACGCAAGACUCAGGUUUGAGCUCUGGGUUGGAAAGAUCCCUGGAGUAGGAAAUGGCGACCCACAGAAGCCUAGCAGGCUGCAGUCCAUGAGGCCAGAGAGUCAGGCAAGACUGAGCACACACACGCACACACGCACGCACACACACGGCACACACAUGCACACAUGCGCACACAUGCACGCAUGCACACAUGUACACACACGCACACACGCACGCACAUGCACAGGCGCACACAUGCACGCAUGCACACAUGUACACACACGCACACACGCACGCACAUGCACAGGCGCACACAUGCACGCAUGCACACAUGUACACACACGCACACAUGCGCACACAUGCACGCAUGCACACAUGUACACACACGCACACACGCACGCACGCACAGUGGGCAGCCUUUGCAGCCUGGCUUCUUUCACACUGUCACAGCAUUUAAGGCUCCUCCAUGUCUUCCCGUGGUGUGACAGCUCACUUCUUCCUAGUGCUGAAUAA
rnacentral:lncRNA from 1 species